UACGGGGGGAGCAAGCGUUGUCCGGAAUUAUUGGGCGUAAAGGGCUCGUAGGCGGUUUGUCGCGUCGGGAGUGAAAACCUACAGCUUAACUGUGGGCUUGCUUUCGAUACGGGCAGACUAGAGGUAUGCAGGGGAGAACGGAAUUCCUGGUGUAGCGGUGAAAUGCGCAGAUAUCAGGAGGAACACCGGUGGCGAAGGCGGUUCUCUGGGCAUGAUCUGACGCUGAGGAGCGAAAGCGUGGGGAGCGAACAGG
rnacentral:rRNA from 1 species